GACAAUCUGCAGCCCCUGUCUCUGGGCAGGCACCAGACAACCCCCCUGAGAACUUCCCUCUCCAAACACGGGACAAUGAGGCUUUGGUUGUAUCUCGUUCUCAUUGCAGCAGCGUUUGAAGGUGUCCGGUCCCAGGUGCAGCUGGUGGAGUCCGGAGGGGAUGUGAAAAAGCCCGGAGACUCUCUCCGCCUCUCCUGCAAAGCCUCCGGCUUCACCUUCAGCAGCUACCCUAUGAGCUGGGUCCGCCAGGCUCCCGGGAAGGGGCUGGAGUGGGUCUCUCUCAUUUACACUGAUGGGAGCCAACAGUUUUACGCAGACUCAGUGAAAGGCCGAUUCACCAUCUCCAGAGACAACUCCAACAACCUGCUGUAUCUGCAAAUGACCGGCCUGAAGCCCGAGGACACCGCCCGGUAUCGCUGUGCGAGAGGGACACAGUGA